rnacentral:rRNA from 1 species
GAUGAACGCUGGCGGCGUGCCUAAUACAUGCAAGUCGAGCGAACAGACGAGAGUGCUUGCACUCUCUGACGUUAGCGGCGGACGGGUGAGUAACACGUGGGUAACCUACCUAUAAGACUGGGAUAACUUCGGGAAACCGGAGCUAAUACCGGAUAAUAUUUAGCUUCGCAUGAAGCAAUAGUGAAAGACGGUUCUGCUGUCGCUUAUAGAUGGACCCGCGGUGUAUUAGCUAGUUGGUGAGGUAACGGCUCACCAAGGCAACGAUACAUAGCCGACCUGAGAGGGUGAUCGGCCACACUGGGACUGAGACACGGCCCAGACUCCUACGGGAGGCAGCAGUAGGGAAUCUUCCGCAAUGGACGAAAGUCUGACGGAGCAAUGCCGCGUGAGUGAAGAAGGUUUUCGGAUCGUAAAACUCUGUUGUAAGGGAAGAACAAGUACGUUAGUAACUGAACGUACCUUGACGGUACCUUACCAGAAAGCCACGGCUAACUACGUG